rnacentral:rRNA from 1 species
CCUGGCUCACGAUGAACGCUAGCUACAGGCUUAACACAUGCAAGUCGAGGGGCAGCAUUUUAGUUUGCUUGCAAACUAAAGAUGGCGACCGGCGCACGGGUGAGUAACACGUAUCCAACCUGCCGAUAACUCGGGGAUAGCCUUUCGAAAGAAAGAUUAAUAUCCGAUGGUAUAUUAAAACCGCAUGGUUUUACUAUUAAAGAAUUUCGGUUAUCGAUGGGGAUGCGUUCCAUUAGUUUGUUGGCGGGGUAACGGCCCACCAAGACUACGAUGGAUAGGGGUUCUGAGAGGAAGGUCCCCCACAUUGGAACUGAGACACGGUCCAAACUCCUACGGGAGGCAGCAGUGAGGAAUAUUGGUCAAUGGACGAGAGUCUGAACCAGCCAAGUAGCGUGAAGGAUGACUGCCCUAUGGGUUGUAAACUUCUUUUAUAUGGGAAUAAAGUAUUCCACGUGUGGGAUUUUGUAUGUACCAUAUGAAUAAGGAUCGGCUAACUCCGUGCCAGCAGCCGCGGUAAUACGGAGGAUCCGAGCGUUAUCCGGAUUUAUUGGGUUUAAAGGGAGCGUAGGUGGAUUGUUAAGUCAGUUGUGAAAGUUUGCGGCUCAACCGUAAAAUUGCAGUUGAAACUGGCAGUCUUGAGUACAGUAGAGGUGGGCGGAAUUCGUGGUGUAGCGGUGAAAUGCUUAGAUAUCACGAAGAACUCCGAUUGCGAAGGCAGCUCACUAGACUGCAACUGACACUGAUGCUCGAAAGUGUGGGUAUCAAACAGGAUUAGAUACCCUGGUAGUCCACACAGUAAACGAUGAAUACUCGCUGUUUGCGAUAUACAGUAAGCGGCCAAGCGAAAGCAUUAAGUAUUCCACCUGGGGAGUACGCCGGCAACGGUGAAACUCAAAGGAAUUGACGGGGGCCCGCACAAGCGGAGGAACAUGUGGUUUAAUUCGAUGAUACGCGAGGAACCUUACCCGGGCUUAAAUUGCAUUUGAAUAAUCUGGAAACAGGUUAGCCGCAAGGCAAAUGUGAAGGUGCUGCAUGGUUGUCGUCAGCUCGUGCCGUGAGGUGUCGGCUUAAGUGCCAUAACGAGCGCAACCCUUAUCUUUAGUUACUAACAGGUCAUGCUGAGGACUCUAGAGAGACUGCCGUCGUAAGAUGUGAGGAAGGUGGGGAUGACGUCAAAUCAGCACGGCCCUUACGUCCGGGGCUACACACGUGUUACAAUGGGGGGUACAGAAGGCAGCUACCUGGUGACAGGAUGCUAAUCCCAAAAACCUCUCUCAGUUCGGAUCGAAGUCUGCAACCCGACUUCGUGAAGCUGGAUUCGCUAGUAAUCGCGCAUCAGCCAUGGCGCGGUGAAUACGUUCCCGGGCCUUGUACACACCGCCC